AAUCAACGCUGGCGGCGUGCCUAACACAUGCAAGUCGAACGCGAAAGGGGACUUCGGUUCCUGAGUAGAGUGGCGUCCGGGUGAGUAACACGUGGGUAAUCUGCCUUCGGGUGGGGAAUAACUCAGGGAAACUUGAGCUAAUACCGCAUAAUGCAGCGGCACCUAAUGGUGAUUAGUUGUUAAAGCGGGGGAGUCGCAAGACCUCGCGCCUGAAGAGGAGCCUGCGGCAGANAGUCUAGUUGGUAAGGUAAUGGCUUACCAAGGCUUCGAUCUGUAGCUGGUCUGAGAGGACGGCCAGCCACACUGGCACUGACACACGGGCCAGACUCCUACGGGAGGCAGCAGUGGGGAAUUUUGGGUCAAUGGGCGAAAAGCCUGACCCAGCAACGCCGCGUGGAGGGAGGAAAUCCUUCGGGAUGUAAACCUCACAAGCAAGGGAAAGAGAGCUACGGGCUGAAUAAUCCCGUAGUGCGACGGUACCUUGCGUAAGCCACGGCUAACUACGUGCCA
rnacentral:rRNA from 1 species